GGUUAACUUGAUUUCCUCACUCAGUUCUCACCCAAUCUCACCACCACGCAUCACUUGUCAAACCCUAGCUGCCAUGAGUUCCGAUGACCACCCGAAGCUCCCUCAAGACGUCGUUGUCGAGAUCCUCAAGCUUUUGCCGGUGGAAUCUCUCCUCCGAUUCAGGUGCGUUUGCCGAUCAUGGCGUUCCACCAUUGAUGACCCUUCUUUCGUUUCCCUCCACUUGAAUAGCUCCUCUCUCGGUGCCUCCAAUUGGCACACCGUGUGUCUAGAUUGGAGCGAUCCUGUCCAAAAGCUGUGCUCUGUGUUCUCCGAUGAGUCUCUUACCCUGCCUCCUCAGUCGCAAAUCGAAAUUCCGUUUGGCAGCUCUUACCAAAUUGUGGGUUCUUGUAAUGGUUUGAUCUGCGUCGCAGAAUUUAACGAAAUGCGCUCUGGACGGACCAUUCACUUGUGGAAUUUAUUCACCAGAAAGCACAAGGCGGUUCUACUACCCGGUCUAGAUCAUCAAUGGAUAGAUAUAGGAUUUGGCUUUGACGCCAGGUCUAAUGACUAUAAGAUUGUGAAAUUUCCACUUGAUCGUCCAUGCUCUCGAGUCGAGAUUUACUCACUCAGCACAGAUUCUUGGAGAUGUUUGGAGUGUGAGGUACCUCCUGUCGCAGACAUGGACCCCGCAGUCUUCUUCAAUGGGAAUCUGCACUGGUUUUUUUUAAAGUUCGAUAAUGUGCCAAUGGAGCGGAUAGACGGAUCAAUUGUUUUGUUCGAUGUCGCAGGUGAGGUGUUUGAUGAAAUGGCUCUGCCGGAAGAGUUUUUGGCUCGUAAUAUUCUUGGUUAUUUUGCAGUACUGAAUGGCUUGCUGGCAUUGUUUAUUAGUCGCAUCGAGGGAUAUGUGUAUCUUAAUUUGUAUUCCGUUUGUUCUGUUUGGGUUAUGAGGGAGUAUGGCGUGCCUGAGUCGUGGACUAAGCUAUAUAAUUUUGAGGCUCGUACAAUUGUAAGGGAAAUUUGUGGCUUCGCGAGGAAUGGCGAGCUUCUAAUGGUCACGGGUGGUGACGAACGAGUUUCUUGGAAUCAAGUCACAAGACAAUUCGAAGAUCUUCAUUUAUCGACGAAAUGCGAUAUGGUCGCCGUUGUAGAGAGCCUCGUUUCACUUUAGUACUUUAGAUAUGACUUUGAUCGCAGCUGCAUUUACCAGCUUGCUGAAACGUUGAAAGAUACAUCUAAACUGAGAAGAAAUGGUCUUAUUCAUCUACGCCAUGGCCACAAAAUGAUGAGCAGAGAAAGUGAGGUGUCGUCCUUUUACUUUUGGCACUUCUUGCAAGCUUUAAAAUGCGUUUUCAUUCACCUUAUUUUUUCUUUAGACUAGUGGAGUGCGUUCUUUGUACGAGUGAAAGUAUGCAACUCAAGACAGUAUCUACAACUUCAGCAUUGCUGCUACGAGUAGAGUUUAGAUGAUGCAGACAAAAAUGACCCAACCUUUUGAAUGGUAUGCACGUAUGUGUUUGAUUUGAUGAUGCCACCAUAUGCAUUUUUCAGCUCCUAUAAGACCAAACUACACAGUUUGAAUUUAUGCCACCAUAUAACUUGAUUGGAGCAAGCACGACUUAUCAAAGUACAUGUAUCAUCUUUUGUGUCUCCUUAAGUAUUGGAGUACAUCUCCUCACUCA